ACUUAAUAAAUUUUUAAAUCAAUCACUUUGUCUCUGCACAAUGAACAUUAUCAAAUAUUAUUAAUGUUGUAAAAUAUAUUGUUCAUUGUUAGUUCAUAUUAGCUAAGGCAUUACCAAAUGUUAAGGAAUAAACUCUUAUAGUAAAGUGUUACUAAAUUUUCUUUUACCAUUUCCUUCACAAUGUCUAUUUAUUUCUAUGGCUAACAGAUUUUGUAACAUUUGUCUUUUUUACAGUCUUACCAUUGCUUGUAAGCUGGAUUGGGUAAGAUGGAUCAUCUUUAAAGGCACCAGGAGUUAAGGCAGAUGUGGAGGCACAACGUGUGAUACCAGACACACACCAAGCACAUUAUGUUCGGACAUUCAAUCAUGACAGGAUCCAGGUGGAUGCUGUCCAUUGAGGAAAGAGUUUGUUCAGCGGUUUCUGGAUAGAAUUAAUUCCAAAGAUGGGAAAAAGUGCACAUCCAGACAAGGAGCAAGCAAAAAGACAAGGAACUUGGUGCAGAGAAAAGCUGUGGCCAUUAACCCCCAUGUGAACAGCUUCAUGCAGUCCCUGAUUGAGUUCGAAUGGACGACUUCAAAGUAAAGGCCAGUGUGGUCUGUCUGCCACAGUUUAAUGCAUUUAUUUUUAGUGUUAAAUGAAAUUCAAGUAGAAUAUUUAAAACUAUGGGCCAGUGUUGUUUUUACCACAGUGAAAUGUUACCUUUUAGUCGAUGAUGGACUUUAAACUGAAAACUUCAAACUAUGGAACAGUGUUCUAUUUGCCAGAGUUAAAUAUGUUACAGCAGGGGUCUCCAAACUUGUUUAUACUUGUUGAUUUUAUUUUAU